rnacentral:lncRNA from 1 species
UUUUUUUUUCCGGGGGGGGAGGAAAUUAAGACAAGGACAAACUUGGGUCGGCGAAUAAUCAGAAUAUGUUGUUGACAACUAGACAUCAAUCAAAGUAAAUCUCAUCUAUUAGCUAGGGUAUGGCUGAUACAAUUGUAGACAUUACUUUUUUUAUCAAAUUAAAUUAUUGCAAAGUGGUUAAUCUAAAUGCCGUGGUGGUUAUUGAAGAAGAGAAAAUGAUAUAUUAUUUUUCAAGAUAUCAAAAUAUUUCGUGGAACAAUAUUUAUUCUAUUGUUUUGGGAGAUGAGAGAAGAUGAGGAAUGCAGUAAACAUAUAAUAUAAAUGACUACAGAGAUAGUGAACAGAGAUGAGCGAGAACCACCAGAAGUCUAGAUAAGUCUGCUGUCCCUCUUGAACCUUUUCCCCCGUUGCCUGCGGGUAUGGUAAUACUCUGUAUAGUUACUACUAUAUGUAUUCGGUUUUGUAUCCAUUGAGAAAGCAGAAUUGUAUUUUAUUCACCAGUGAACUAGGCUACCGUUCUACUAGUUUCCUCCUUGUAAUGUCUAUUUCCAACAUUUUGAUAAAUAUAAGGAAGAGAAUUUUCUGUUCUUUCUUU